rnacentral:sRNA from 1 species
CGCAGAACCCUCUCCGUUUUCCCCAAAUCCCCGUCUCUUCCAGGAAUCCCGGGUUUGCCGCUGUCUCUGCUAUUCCAUCCUCCCCAUAGGGGCUCUCUCC